rnacentral:tRNA from 1 species
GGGCCCAUAGCUCAGCUGGUUAGAGCUCCCGGCUCAUAACCGGGCGGUCCCAAGUUCGAAUCUUGGUGGGCCCACCA